UAGGACCUACGGGACGCAGCAGUGGGGAAUAUUGCACAAUGGGGGAAACCCUGAUGCAGCGACGCCGCGUGAGUGAAGAAGUAUUUCGGUAUGUAAAGCUCUAUCAGCAGGGAAGAUAAUGACGGUACCUGACUAAGAAGCUCCGGCUAAAUACGUGACAGCAGCCGCGGUAAUACGUAUGGAGCAAGCGUUAUCCGGAUUUACUGGGUGUAAAGGGAGCGCAGACGGCAAGGCAAGUCUGCUGUGAAAGUCCGAGGCUCAACCUCGGGACUGCAUUGGAAACUGUCUGGAUAGAGAGAAGGAGA
rnacentral:rRNA from 1 species